rnacentral:rRNA from 1 species
AUUGAACGCUGGCGGCAGGCCUAACACAUGCAAGUCGAACGAGUGGCGGACGGGUGAGUAAUGUCUGGGAAACUGCCUGAUGGAGGGGGAUAACUACUGGAAACGGUAGCUAAUACCGCAUACCAUCGGAUGUGCCCAGAUGGGAUUAGCUAGUGGGGGGGGAAAAGGCCCACCUAGGCGACGAUCCCUAGCUGGUCUGAGAGGAUGACCGGCAAACUGGGAACGAAGACACGGUCCAGACUCCGACGGGAGGCAGCAGUGGGGAAUAUUGCACAAUGGGCGCAAUCCUGAUGCAGCCAUGCCGCGUGUAUGAAGAAGGCCUUCGGGUUGUAAAGUACGUUCAGCGGGGAGGCGUUACCCGCAGAAGAAGCACCGGCUAACUCCGUGCCAGCAGCCGCGGUAAUUC